CCUACGGGUGGCAGCAGUGAGGAAUAUUGGUCAAUGGGCGCGAGCCUGACCCAGCCAAGUAGCGUGAAGGAUGACUGCCCUACGGGUUGUAACCUCCUUUUAUAAAGGAAUAAAGUGAGGCACGUGUGCCUUUUUGUAUGUACUUUAUGAAUAAGGAUCGGCAAACUCCGUGCCAGCAGCCGCGGUAAUAUGGAGGAUGCGAGGGUUUUCCGGAUUUAUUGGGUUUAAAGGGUGCGCGGGGGGAGGAACAGGUCAGCGGUAAAAUCCCGGGGCUAAACGCCGAUGCGCCGUUGAAACUGUGUCCCUUGAGUGCGGGAAGGGUAGGCGGAAUGCGUGGUGUAGCGGUGAAAUGCAUAGAUAUCACGCAGAACUCCGAUGGCGAAGGCAGCCGACCGGCGCGCAACUGACGGUGAUGCACGAAAGCGUGGGUAUCGAACAGGAUUAGAUACCCGAGUAGUC
rnacentral:rRNA from 1 species